rnacentral:rRNA from 1 species
UGACCUCGGUUCAGACGUGAUUACC